AUGUGUGAAGAGCAGAGACCAUGGUUUUUAAGGGCUGUCCUCAGAAGCUUUGUUAUGAAGGGGAAGCAGAGGCAAGAGUUGAUUAGAAAGAGCAGAUUGUCAUUACGGAACUUUCCGACAUCAGAAAAGUACAGAAAGCACAGAAGUUCAACAACAAGAAAAAGAAAACAUGACAAGUUGAGUGCAAGGAUUUCCUUUUAA
rnacentral:lncRNA from 1 species